rnacentral:lncRNA from 1 species
CUAAAUUUGAAAAAAAUGAAAACAAAAUUUCGACAGGAAUACCUCUGACUCAGAAAAAAAGUGUAAUUCACACUGAAUAAAAGUGUCAACGAGUUAAAAUAAUGGUGGAAAGGUUAUUUAUUGGUUACAUGCCUAAAAUUACCCCAGUUGCUGGAAACUACUCUGAUACUUUCAGAAAGUACUCCUACAGCUUAUUUAAAAAAAAAGGCAAAAAAGGGACAUAUCUCCCAAGACGAGACAUUGGAGCAAUGUAAUUAAUAUGCUGACCAAUAUUUUGAUAGCUUUACUGCUUUACAAAUACUGAGUCUAACCUCAUGAUCUAUUUCAAGCC